UACGGAGGAGGCAAGCGUUAUCCGGAAUUAUUGGGCGUAAAGCGUCCGUAGAUGGUUUUGUCAGUCUGCUGUCAAAGCACAGGGCUUAACCCUGUAAAGGCAGUGGAAACUACAAGACUAGAGUGCAGUAGGGGCAGAGGGAAUUCCCAGUGUAGCGGUGAAAUGCGCAGAUAUCAGGAGGAACACCGGUGGCGAAGGCGGGUCUCUGGGCCGAUACUGACGCUGAGGAGCGAAAGCGUGGGGAGCGAACAGG
rnacentral:rRNA from 1 species